rnacentral:rRNA from 1 species
AUUGAACGCUGGCGGCAUGCUUUACACAUGCAAGUCGAGCGGCAGCGCGGGGGCAACCCUGGCGGCGAGCGGCGAACGGGUGAGUAAUGCAUCGGAACGUAUCCUCGAGUGGGGGAUAACCCAGCGAAAGUUGGGCUAAUACCGCAUGAGCUCUGAGGAGGAAAGCGGGGGACCUGCGAGGGCCUCGCGCUGGAGGAGCGGCCGAUGUCCGAUUAGCUAGUUGGUGGGGUAAAGGCUUACCAAGGCGACGAUCGGUAGCUGGUCUGAGAGGAUGAUCAGCCACACUGAGACUGAGACACGGCCCAGACUCCUACGGGAGGCAGCAGUGGGGAAUUUUGGACAAUGGGGGCAACCCUGAUCCAGCCAUGCCGCGUGAGUGAAGAAGGCCUUCGGGUUGUAAAGCUCUUUCGGACGGAACGAAAUGGGCGGGACUAAUACUCCUGUCUGAUGACGGUACCGUAAGAAGAAGCACCGGCUAACUACGUG